rnacentral:rRNA from 1 species
CCUACGGGUGCAGCAGUGGGGAAUAUUGGACAAUGGGCGAAAGCCUGAUCCAGCCAUGCCGCGUGUGUGAAGAAGGCCUUCGGGUUGUAAAGCACUUUCAGUGGGGAAGAAAGCCUUGGGGCUAAUACCCUCGAGGAAGGACAUCACCCACAGAAGAAGCACCGGCUAACUCCGUGCCAGCAGCCGCGGUAAUACGGAGGGUGCGAGCGUUAAUCGGAAUUACUGGGCGUAAAGCGCGCGUAGGCGGUCUGAUAAGCCGGUUGUGAAAGCCCCGGGCUCAACCUGGGAACGGCAUCCGGAACUGUCAGGCUAGAGUGCAGGAGAGGAAGGUAGAAUUCCCGGUGUAGCGGUGAAAUGCGUAGAGAUCGGGAGGAAUACCAGUGGCGAAGGCGGCCUUCUGGACUGACACUGACGCUGAGGUGCGAAAGCGUGGGUAGCAAACAGGAUUAGAUACCCGGGUAGUC